GGGUCAAGUCUGAUGCAAUGAUCACUGAGAGGGUGUUAUUAGGUCCUAGGAAUGCAUACUUGAGUGCAGCUAGAAGUGACUUUAAUUCUAGUGCAGGUGGUGAUUUUAAUGAUGGGACUGUGGGUGUAUUGACUAAUGCAGGCAAUGGCUCAUAUUUGAUUAUCUAAGGGGGAGUAGUUUCAGUAUUUGAUGUAUUAAAUAGAAUAUUUACUUCUUCACUACCUCCCUCCA
rnacentral:lncRNA from 1 species